rnacentral:snoRNA from 1 species
AAAAAAGCAGAGGUCUGUACUUUUCUCCUCUGAGCUGGCCUCUCGUAAGCUUCUAGGAAAUUAUUUGCACCAUUAUCGGGUGAACCUUUGUAUACUAUACUUGUGAAUAAAGGUUCAAUAAAUGUUGUGACAUUA